rnacentral:rRNA from 1 species
UACGAGGGGAGCAAGCGUUGUUCGGAUUUACUGGGCGUAAAGGGCGCGUAGGCGGCCACGACAAGUCACUUGUGAAAUCUCCGGGCUUAACUCGGAACGGUCAAGUGAUACUGUCGGGCUAGAGUACAGAAGGGGCAACUGGAAUUCUCGGUGUAGCGGUGAAAUGCGUAGAUAUCGAGAGGAACACCUGCGGCGAAGGCGGGUUGCUGGGCUGAUACUGACGCUGAUGCGCGAAAGCCAGGGGGAGCGAACGGG